UGAACCAUUAAUUUUUUUUUAUUCAAUACGACAAGUUCUAAAUUUUACGGUUGGCAAAACUAAUCGUUUUUUGAAAAUAGGGACGGGCUUAAACAGUAUUUAAAGGUAGUAGUUUGAUGUCCCAUUCAGUAUUUAUGUAUAUGAUUUUUUUAUUAAUAGUAAAUUUUAAUAAUUGUGUGUUAUUUUCCUACAAAAAUAUAAGCAAAAUGACAACGGUAGCUUAAAUUGAUUGUAAUGAAAGAUUGUAUUAGAUUAAGUUCAAUAGUACUAUGUUUAUUUUAAAUGCGCACAUUGCCAUGUGAUGUGACAUAAACGUUAUUUCAUCAA